rnacentral:rRNA from 1 species
GACAGAGGCCCCGAGCGUUAGGCGGAAUCACUGGGCUUAAAGCGUGUGUAGGCGGACCCCUAAGUGUCUUGUGAAAUCCCACGGCUCACCCGUGGAACCGCUGGGCAUACUGCGGGUCUUGGGCCAACUAGGGGCAGCCGGAACAAGCGGUGGAGCGGUGAAAUGCGUAGAUAUCGCUUGGAACGCCGAAGGUGAAAACAGGCUGCUGGGGUUGCGCCGACGCUGAGACACGAAAGCCAGGGGAGCAAACGGG